rnacentral:lncRNA from 1 species
UGAGGACAAGGAUCUUAUUAGGGCUUGAGGUAUUGUCAUGAAUGAGUCUGUACCGGUAUUGACAAAGCAGCCCACCAAUACCAUAUUAAGUGGCUCUGUUUGGGUUCCGAGUUGAUAUAUAGAUACUUGUGGGAGCAAAAUAGGUUUAUGCGAAUAUUGGUGGAGUGUCAGUAUCUCCUCAUUCCCGUUCUAUCUGUUAUUCUCACCCCCCUUUUUUAGUCUACGCUUCUCAUCUCCCUUCUAUCCUUUGUUACAAUUCCUUGUUAUCCUUUCAACUACCUUGUUGAUCUUUAGCUUUCCAUUGUAAUAGUUAGUUUGAGCAUUCAAUCAAAGGAAUUGAUUCCUUGUAGUUGAGCAUUUAAGUGUUCACUUCAGAAGAUCUAUCAAGAAUGGUUCAGUUUCGCUAAUUCAGGUAAUAUAUUCUCUCAUUUUUAUGUGUUAUUCAAAUAAGAGAACAAAGGAAUUUUGAAUAAUGGGGUUAUUGGGUACAGAUGUAGAUGAAAGCCUCACUGGAGGAGAUGCCACCAAGCUAUUUGCCAUGUCCAAUUUGCCUCGUCAAGAGCUCAAGCAGGUUCUUUUCUUUUCUACUUCCUUUAUUUCCUUAAUAUCGUUCACUUGUACCCAAUAACCCCAUUAUUCGAGUGAGCCGUUAUUUUCUUAGAUAGUGUAUAUAUGGUCAAAAUUAAUUUAUUAUAUGGCAGAUCUUGAAUCCUCUUGACUCCUUCGUAUGCUUGCAUCUUUAUAUUUUGAAUCUCCCUAUUGAAAAUCCUGUCUCCGCCAUUGCAUGCACCUGUCUAGAAACCUUGUUUUAAUGUUUGUCAAUGCUUUGGCAAGAGCUCAAGUGCAGUAUGUGCUUUGUCUCAAGUUUGUAACACCGACAGCCAAUUAAAUAAUUUGAAAAAAAUGAAUAUAACUUAAAUAAUAUGGUGAAACUGGCUGCUGGGUGAAAAUAACACCUUCUUUUAUACAUAUACCUUUGUGCAAUAUAUUUACAGAUAAACUGAUUUUAAACAAUUUUAGAAGUUCUCAAUCUCGCGUAACACACACAUAAUCAGGCUGUGAGCUGAAAAUCCUCUAGACUUUGCGUGGAACUAUAAUAAAAAUUCAUGUAGACUAUAGUAUUUUGAAUUUAGACAAUGUUAGCACUAGUUAAAAUGCAUGUUUUUAGCGGACUGUGCUACGCUCAUAUAGAAGACAAAACACAUGAAAGAUGUUCGAACAAGGUACGUACUAAAAAAUUCAUGAGGACUACAAAAUGAACAAUUUCCUUUAUUACAAUGGAUAGAUACAAAUAACAGAUAAAUUGAAAACCAAAGCUGAACUAGAGAGUCUUUGGAUAAUCAGCAAUCCCCUCAAAGGCAAAAUUCCCUUUCUUUUCAUCAUUACUGGGGAAGAUGGCAAUACUAAUUAACAAUACAGGGACAACAAAUUAAUAGGAAAAGAAAAGCUGCAAAAUUUAGAGCCGGGAUGAUCCAAUAGGAUGAUGUAUGACAAUGUUAUUGUAGGCAUCAAGAGUCAUAAAAUCAUCCAAAACUGGUGCAGUGCAUUGCCUUGUGAAUAACUUGCAAGCCACCUCGUACAUUCCCUUCUUGAAUUUCUCCUUUCCAACUUCUCUCUCAAUCCUAGCCAUUUCAUCCUCAACCACUCUUCCAAACAGGUCUAAGUUCACUUUCACCCCAAGUCCAUCCCCAUCCAAUUCCACACCAUAUUUCAGCCACUGCCAAUUCUGGACUCUGCUAAUCUCAGCUGCGGCAGCUUCCUCCAUGAAGUUGUAAAGAGGGACACAACCAAGGCCUGUCAGCCAGGCUGCCAAGUACUGAAUUCCCACUCGGGUGUUCAGCCGAAGGCACUCCAAGGUACAGACCCCUCUCGGCCUCUGCAGCAGGUCUUCUUCAUCUAGAAUGGAUGCAUCUUGGCGCUUCAUGGAAUGGAUUUGGUUUGGGGAAUUGCCCAUGUUGUUAGUGAAGACUUCCAUGCAUGCUGGAACUAGGCCAGGGUGAGUAACCCAUGUCCCAUCAUGCCCCGCCGUCACUUCUCUUAGCUUAUCCUUCCUUACAAGUUCCAAUGCUGCCUCAUUAGCUGCCGGAUCAUCUCUAAUUGGAAUAUGAGCUGCCUGUUUCAAGGAUCCAGCACAGCUAUUAUGCAUCAAUUUGAUCAUGUACAAGAAGAUUCCAAAUUAACCUAAUGCAGAAAUUGGAAAUUACUCCAGAUGUUGUUUUUUUCCAGAUAUUGUAAAACUAAUAAAAAAUAAAAAAUUGGUGUUGGGUUGAUAAUCACACGAGUAUCAAAGGAUGACAAUAUUGCAGCCAACACACUAACCGGCUUUGGAUCUUUCAUACAUAUCAACAACCACUAAAGUAUUUCCUAUUGUACUCCUACAUCGCUCCAAUGUGGGAACGAUCAUGUGCAUACUUUUUAAUAUCAUAACAUCCUACUAGCAUGCAAAUGUUUUCGUGUCCAUAUGUUUGGUAAUUUAUACAUUUUAUUUGAGUUCCUAAUAAAAAUAAUACAAAUAUGCUUGUGUAAAAUUAUUUAAAGAACAUAGAAUUAAAAAAAGAAACUGAAUUGAUGUAGACAUACCAUGCCUCCCAUAGCAUGGACUCCACGCUUAUGACAAGUGUGGAUGAGUAAGUCGGAGUAACUCCUCAUAAAGUGUUGAGCCAUGCCAACUUGUGUCCUAUCGGGGAGCAAUCGAUCAGGGUGACCCUGGAAUGUCUUGAUGUAGCUGAAAAUGUAAUCCCAUCUACCACAAUUGAGGCCAACAGAAUGGUCCCUCAGUUCAUACAAGAUUUCAUUCAUCUGAAACACAGCUGGAAGUGUUUCAAUUAGGGCAGUAGCCCUAAUGCUUCCUUUCUCAAUUCUAACCCAUUUCUCUGCCCUCUCAAACACAUUGUUCCAUAUCCUAGCUUCCCUGAUCAAACAAAACAAAAACUGCUACAUUUUCUUGGAAUAUAAUUCUCAAGACUAUAUAAAUUUACUAACAAGAACACAACUAACCUAGAAUGUUCCAUUUUGGGUAGAUAGAAAAAGGGUCCAGAUCCUUGACCUUGGGCCUUGCGGAAGUUGGCAUAGUUGUGGAAAAAGUAGAGGCCGAAGUCGACAAGGCAACCCGUGGCAGGCUCACCAUCAAUGAAAAUGUGAGCUUCUGGCAAGUGCCACCCUCUUGGGCGCACAAACAACUUAGCUGUCUGAUCAUUCAGUUUAUAUACUUUAUUUCUGGCUUGAUCAUGGAAUGUUAUUGUUCUAUUGACUGCAUCCCUCAAAUUUAUAUGGCCUCUCAUUAGAUUCUCCCAGCUUGGUGACAGUGCAUCUUCAAAGUCCGCCUGUGGAAUAUUAUAUUAUGAACUGCAUUGCAAUGAUAUGCAGAAAGAAAAACAAAAUGCACAUAUUCUGGAUAUGCUUCCACUCCAAAUUGAGGUUAAUUACUUACAUAAAGGUCUAGUGCUACCAUUAGUUUUGCUCAAUUAUUUCCUUCAAUGUAAUUCACACUGGCCUUUUUUUCGUUUUUCUUAGUUAUAUUAAAAUGAGAGUUCUUCUGUUCUACUAUUAACUUGGGAAGGGAGAUGCGACAGGGGAUAUGGCAUACCAUGAAAACUUUGGCUCUAGAAUUAAGGGCAUCGAUGACCAUCUUCCUAUCGACUGGUCCGGUAAUCUCCACCCUCC